GGCGCAGUGGUCUAAUGGUAUGACUCCUGCUACGUAAUGUCCUACUGAACUCAUGUAGAGGGUGGGUGAUCCGGGUUCAAUUCCCGGCUGAGCCA